UACAGAGGGGCAAGCGUUAUUCGGAAUUAUUGGGCGUAAAGGCGCGUAGGCGGCCAUUCAAGUGACGGGUGAAAGCCCUCGGCUUAACCGAGGAACUGCCUGUCAGACUGGAUGGCUUGAGACCGGGAGAGGUGAGUGGAAUUCCCAGUGUAGCGGUGAAAUGCGUAGAUAUUGGGAGGAACACCAGUGGCGAAGGCGGCUCACUGGACCGGAACUGACGCUGAGGCGCGAAAGCGUGGGGAGCAAACAGG
rnacentral:rRNA from 1 species